rnacentral:rRNA from 1 species
UACAGAGGUCCCAAGCGUUGUUCGGAUUCACUGGGCGUAAAGGGUGCGCAGGUGGCUGGGUAAGUUUGAUGUGAAAGCCCCGGGCUUAACCCGGGAAUGGCAUUGAAUACUAUUCGGCUGGAGGAUUGGAGGGGGGACUGGAAUUCUUGGUGUAGCAGUGAAAUGCGUAGAUAUCAAGAGGAACACCAGUGGCGAAGGCGAGUCCCUGGACAAUACCUGACACUGAGGCACGAAAGCCAAGGGAGCAAACAGG